rnacentral:rRNA from 1 species
GGCAGCGGAGAUAGCACGAUGAAUACAGUAGUUCCCAAUGAAUCACUCAAGUUAAGCAACUCUGAGCGUGGUUAGUAUCUGGAUAGGUGACCGUCUGGGCAAUCGCGUGUUGGCUUUUC